rnacentral:misc_RNA from 1 species
GAUGAAGAACGUAGCGAAAUGCGAUAAGUAAUGUGAAUUGCAGAAUUCAGUGAAUCAUCGAAUCUUUGAACGCACAUUGCGCCCGCUAGUAUUCUGGCGGGCAUGCCUGUCCGAGCGUCAUUUCAACCCUCAAGCCCCCGGGCUUGGUGUUGGGGAUCGGCGAGCCUCCGCGCCCGCCGUCCCCUAAAUCUAGUGGCGGUCUCGCUGUAGCUUCCUCUGCGUAGUAGCACACCUCGCACUGGGAAACAGCGCGGCCACGCCGUUAAGCCCCCAACUUCUGAACGUUUGACCUCGGAUCAGGUAGGAAUACCCGCUGAACUUAAGCAUAUCAAUAAGCGGAGGA